AUUGAACGCUGGCGGCAUGCUUUACACAUGCAAGUCGAACGGUAGAGGGGGCAACCCCUUGAGAGUGGCGGACGGGUGAGUAAUGCAUCGGAACGUGCCCAGUCGUGGGGGAUAACGCAGCGAAAGCUGUGCUAAUACCGCAUACGAUCUCUGGAUGAAAGCGGGGGACCUUGUAGCAAUACGGGGCCUCGCGCGAUUGGAGCGGCCGAUGUCAGAUUAGGUAGUUGGUGGGGUAAAGGCUCACCAAGCCAACGAUCUGUAGCUGGUCUGAGAGGACGACCAGCCACACUGGGACUGAGACACGGCCCAGACUCCUACGGGAGGCAGCAGUGGGGAAUUUUGGACAAUGGGCGCAAGCCUGAUCCAGCAAUGCCGCGUGCAGGAAGAAGGCCUUCGGGUUGUAAACUGCUUUUGUACGGAACGAAAAGGUCUGGGUUAAUACCCCGGGCACAUGACGGUACCGUAAGAAUAAGCACCGGCUAACUACGUGCCAGCCGCCGCAGUAA
rnacentral:rRNA from 1 species